UACGUAGGGUGCAAGCGUUGUCCGGAAUUAUUGGGCGUAAAGAGCUCGUAGGCGGUUUGUCGCGUCUGCUGUGAAAAUCCGAGGCUCAACCUCGGACCUGCAGUGGGUACGGGCAAGCUAGAGUGCGGUAGGGGAGAUGGGAAUUCCUGGUGUAGCGGUGGAAUGCGCAGAUAUCAGGAGGAACACCAAUGGCGAAGGCACAUCUCUGGGCCGUAACUGACGCUGAGGAGCGAAAGCGUGGGGAGCGAACAGG
rnacentral:rRNA from 1 species